CCGACCGCUUGGCUUGCCCUCGGCGAAGUAGAUCAGCUCCUCCUUAGGCCCUUUCCCCUCGGGCGCAGUUGACUGUCUUUCUCCUAAUCCAGAGAAGCUGAGCGUCCUCCGCCGACCCUGAGGGCUGCAGCGGUUUCCUCGGUUAGAGUGGCCGCUGACCCGAUGCUCCGCCCGAGUAAUGGGCAGCUGUACUGAUUUCCGGCUUUCCUUCCUUCCAAGGCUGUGCACCUUUGUGGAACUUAGCAUUCAGGAGCAGAGUUGUUAUCUUAAGAUCACAUAAGAGGAGUCGUGCACGUUUUGAACCCUACAAAAUGUUUCCAAGGCUAAAAAGGUAAACUUAAAAUGAGUGGGUAGGAGCACAACCCUCCCUCCACUCCCUUUGCUUUCUUUAGUUCUCCUGCAUACUCGCUCUCCAAGGAGCACAGGGCCUUGGGGUCCCCAGCAUCUCGGAUACAGCACACCCUGUUUGGAGGUCUCCCAUGUCCCAGGUGCGGGUCUGUGAUACAGGGGAAAUAAUAAAGCUCCCAGCUUGCUAGAUGUCAGAUGCAUGCAGUUCAUUUUCCCCAAAAUCCAAGAAGGAAUUCUAAGGAAAAAUGGAGGUUAAGAGUGGGAAGACUUUAUUGAGCGAAAGAGCUCCUAAGAGACAGGAAGGGACCCAAAAAUGGGUUGCCAACGAGCCUACUUCUCAGAGGGAGUUUUCUAGAGCAAAAUCACAGGGUGGCCACAAAAUCACGAGGUGAGUUCAACGUGGAUCAAAACUAUGACCAACCAGCAAGGUUACAAGUAGAGUCAUUUAGCUAAUAUUGAUCCUGUGGGGAAGCAAGUCGAGUAGCAGGUGUACAUGGAAAGAACCAGACCUUUUUAGGAAAGGCUGGGUCAGGAGGUCCUGGUCUCCUGCCUGGUGACUGAUGUCUGCCUAGACUGUGGGACCAGGUGAUGCCAAUUAUAGUAUACGCUUCAAUUUACUGUGUAUCCCUUGGGGAGUAUGUGGGCCUGGUCAUUAUCUUGAGGCCUGGCCGUCAGAUGUAAUGUAUUCUCGUCCUCUGCACGGAGUCCCUUGAGGGCCUCCCCCUGUCUGACUGCCUGUAUGUCUACCUAACUUAGCAGUCUACAAUACUGGGGGAGAGAAAACAUGUAAGAUGAAGGCAGAAGACUUCUGUGGACUUAUUGUCAGUGGCCCAUGACUGCCUUUUGCAAAAUAGCUUUUAGCCUAGUUUGUAUCUCUCAAGCCUCAGAAUUUCAGAAAUGCUCUUGCCAGACCCAUUGUUCAAAUUGCUUUGGUCUCAGCUAUUUUCCCUUUCCUUUAACUGCUGGGGGAGGUGAUGUACAGAAACAGGAGAAGUCAUUAUGACAGGCUUCCAAGGGACACGGAACUUGGAGGAAAAUGAUUGACAACUAUGCUCUAAAAAUUUAGGAAGCAGAAAUGUGAGUCAUCUUUCUGGAAGUAUGCAUGCAGUCUGUCGCUCCACCCUUGAUCUUCAGCCCACAGUGACAUUGCUUCCUGAUAGGUCACCCAAGUCUGGAAGACCUGUCUGUUCUUUACUCUGUCGGAAAUUCUUAUCAACAGGGAGUGACUUGGCCUCGGGGCAGGGCUGAGGAGAGAUCCCUCUAGUGAUAAGCCAGGCUCCGAGCCUCUAGAGCAUGGGCUAAAACCGAGCAGAGUUACAGCUCAGCUCUCCUGGGAAGCAGAGGGUGGGCUCUCUUCUCAGUCUCGCCGUGGGUUCCGCACUUUAAGAUCAUCUGUGGACUCUGCAGGACCACCACCCUCCGCUGUGUGACCUGAUCUUGGCAGGGAUCAUUUCGUGUUCAAAUGAUACAGCCUACAGGUGCACUUCAGCCUUUUCUGCCCUACAUUAUAGUAAAGUACGUGUUGAGCAUUCCUAACCCUAAAUUCCGGAAUUCAGAAGUGCAAACUUUCUGAGCACUGGAGUGACACUGCAGGUGGAAAAUGCCACACCUGACCUCAUGUGACAGAGCCCAGGCAAACAUGGACCUAAAAAGAUUGCAGCAAGUUGCCUUCAGCCUAUACGGGAAAGCUGUAAUAACCUGGGCGUAGUGGCACAUGCCAUAAACCCAGCUCUCUGAGAGCCUGAGCAGAGGAUGCAGGUCCCACCCCAACCUGGAAAACUUGGUGACUUCAUGAGACCCUGUCUCAAAAUAAAAAAUGCAAAAGGCCUCGGGACAUAGCUGAGUGCUAAGGCCCUGGGUUCAGUCCCCAUACUGCUUGUCCUAAAAGAAGUAUGUGAAAUAGAAGUGAAUUUCGUAUUAGGCUUGGGUCUCAUCCCUAGAAUACCUCGUUAUGUGUAUGCAAAUAUUCUGAAAUCAAAACACUGAAAAAUCCAAACCAGUUCUGCUUUCAAGCAUUUCAGAUAAGGGAUAAUCAGUGUGUCCUCCAGCAGUCAGGUAAGAGCAUCAUUACAGUGAAUUUGCAAGUUAAAGGAACUUCCCCUCUAUUUUGUAUCUGUAAGUUACUUGGACCUUGCAUUAACCUAUAAAAGUUGACUGAAAUCACUAGGUCGCUGAAUGAUUAUUGAAGUAUUUGCCAUGAAAAAUAUUUACCUUCCCCCUCUCCCCAGAGGCUAACAAAGGAAUUGUUUCCUAAGGAAUAAUCAGAGAAAAUAAAAUCUUGCACCAGAAGAAAAGUUGCAUUUCUCGGUAUUCUUUACUAGUCAUGAGAACUUGGAUGUGCCAUUUCCUCAUCGGUAAAAUAAAAAUAUGAACACCUGUCUUACUUGCUUAACAUUGUGGCACUGAAAAAGUGUGUAUAAAGCUUUUUGUAAAUCAUAAAAUACAAAAAAGUACUUAUUUGCUUGUACUUUACAAAUUGGAACUCAGAGCUGGUCACAAACAUAUUAUUUGGUUUGGUCAACUCAGUUCCAAGGACCCACUUCCUCCUAUUGCCCCCAGAAAAGAACUGGACUGAUGUCAUGCAUGCGCUAGGUACUGUGUUAGCACUUCUGUUCGUCCAUUUCAAUAGCUGCCUGGAGACUCGUUGUAAUAAACCAGGAUCAAAUCCAUUUCUUUUCCUGUUUACCUUUCAGAAAGAAUCUUUGAUGAAUUACUUAUCAAUUACAUGACAUUUUGAUUCUUUGACAGCCAAUAAAAUGUCAAUAAGACAUUUUGAAGCAUAUCAUUCUAUUUCUUCAGAUCAUCUGUUUCUAGCAGCAAAAAGCCCAACCCACCACCGACAAGACUUCCUUAGCUUCUGGACAAAUAAAUUUAAUCAUCACAAAUUCUUCGUGAACAUCUCAAAUAAAAAUAAACCAUCUCUGCAUUUCCUGAGGCUUUUUAAAUGAGAUUUUAUACGAGGUGCCAACUUGGCUGUCUGACUUGCUGCUCUCCAAAUGGUUAUUUAAAACUCUCUGGUACAAUCCCUACACAGCUUUAUGACUUUAAAAAUAACAACAUUUUAUGAGUGUGUAAGAUUUUUUAUUCCAAUUUGAUUUGUAUUUUGAAGGAAGUUAUAAAAUUUAUGUUUUAUAUAAAAAAUUGUGAUAAAACUUUAAUGGAAAUCAUAAUGCAUGAUAAAUUUGCAUAUCAAAAUUAGGCUAGCUAUUUGGAGUAGCACGUUUUUCAGUCACUGUUCUCUGCCUCCCCCUCAGGAGUGACCUUCGUUCCAGUCAGUGACGGGCUCAGCUGCAGCUGAGAGAACAGAAUCAUUGGAGAGCUGAUCCGGCCCCACCCGGGACGGCUCUACAUCUUCUCAUAGUGGCGAACACAGACAAUGUCACCAAAAGUGAGAGUCUGAAAGAAUCCAAAGAGAAGCCAUUUUACACGGGAAUAUUUGUAGCUGAACCAUGAAAACUUUUCAUAUAUAUAUAUAUAUAUAUAUAUAUAUAUAUAUAUAUAUAUGAUUUAACUAUUAGGCAAAGAAUACUGUCAUCUACAAGCAUCAGAUACUGCAUCGGCUCUUCACUUCUGAAGGUGAACUAAAGAAAACCCUCUGUCUAAUGAGUGAAUGGCUUGUAUACACUGCUCAUGUCUCUAACAUGAAGAUGAAGAAAACCUGAGAUCACAAUCUAAAGCAUUCCUUUGGUUUUUCAGUUAUUAGGCCCACUGAGCAAAGCAGGUAUGAGGAAUGGGGCAUCCAUGCUCUUGUCUCAGCUCUGCUUCAAAAGUGAAUGUGAUUUGUAACAGACUUUUCAUAACCAUUUUCCUUCAGUAAUCUAGACUGAUUUCUUUAGGAAAGCCAGUCAUUUGAGCUAAUGGUGUUGGAAAUUACUUGUUUGAAAAUCAGCAGAAAAUGUGACCCUCCGCAGGCUCUCAGCACUUCCACUGCUAUGCUUUGGCCUGGGUGGACCGCCAGGUAAGGGGUGCAGGGUGAGGAGCAUUGGCCACGUGCCUGUGAUGUCAUGUCCAACCGGAAGACGUGCCAUAGAAUCACCUAACAAAACUGAGGGCUGGAUGUACCGGAUUCCAGUACUGUGGUGAUUUCCAUGGGUGUAGUGUACCUUUGUCAUCCAUGGCUUACUCUACUUCUCUGAGCACAAUCACACAUGCCAAAGUUGAGCUCUACUUCUCUGAACUUCAGAUUGAAUCUUCUAAAAGCACAUCCUUUCCUUUGCUGAUCAUUGCAGAGAAAUGUGGCCAAAUAUUCUUUUUUUUUUUUUCUUGGUACUGGGGAUUUAACUCAGGACCUUGCACUUGCGAGGCAGGCAGCGGAACCACUGAGCUAAAUCCCCAGCCCCAAAUGUUCUUUUAGACAAAAGUAAAACUAUCACUCUACUCAGCACCCUUACUUCCACGUGUGAAAAGUAGUAUGGGAACUCCAGUCUAGGAGUAUUCAAAGCGAGAAUAGUCAGUGUUCUUACACAACAAAAAACCCUUCCUUAGCAAGAGUAUGUAAAGCACCACCCCAAAAGAAUAGAUCAACUUGAUAGUGUCAGUACCAUCCGAAUACCAUUAGUUUACAGCAAAGGGCUCUAUCACAGCCUUCUCCCAGUUUGUGAUGCUACUCCAUUAUUUGAAAAGUUAUUUGUAAAUUCUUUUCUUUUUUUUUUUUUUGUGCCAGGGAUCGAACUCAGGUCCUUGCACUUGCUCAGCAGGUGGCAAAACCACUGAGCUAAAUCCCUGGCCCUUAUUUUCUAUUUUAUAAUUUCCACAUGCCUACCUAGUUUUAAACAUGUAUGUUUUAAAAGCACAUAAUCCAUUUUGAAAAAAAAAACUGGAAGGAAAUUAAAGAGGUUUUUUUUUUAACUUUUUGUUAUUCUUUUCAGUUACUUAUAUAACCUUAAUAAGCUAAAAUAUAAAAUGUUUAAAUAUCCCAUAUUUAUUAUAGGAAACAUUAAGUAACUUUUCUGAGAUUCAGUAAGUCUGAUGUUACUAUCAUAUAAUUGUUAUGGCUGUGUCUAGCUGUCUCCCCAAGCCUCACGCGGUCACAGGUGGGGUUUUUCAGAGGUGGCCGGGUUAGCAUGUGUGACACUGGAAUUGAUUCAUGGUGCAUGGUAGGAUCAAGAUCGCUGGGGUUACAGGUGUGAGUGCUGCCCGCCCUAAGCAGCCUGGAUAAGAUACAAAGGACAGAAAGAGCUGAGACCACCCCUCAUGGCUUUUGCUGUCUUUGCCUGCAAUGAACUGUUUCUCCUCUGUGGUCCCCUCUGCCAUGUGUCUCUCUGCCUUAGUGCCAGUGGCCUGCGAACUGAAUCCUCCACAAACUGUAAGCCAAAUGAAACUUUGCUCCCUUAACUUGUGGGUGUCAGGUAUUUUGUCUCGGCAAUGAGAAAAGGAACUAAGACGAUCUUCUUUAUAUAUUUUUUGUGGUUAUUGGUUUUACAUUUAAGUUUCACUGGAAGGUUAGAUACUCACAGUAUUGCAAAAAUUGUUGUUUUGACACAGUUUUGAGUAAACCAAUGGCACAUUAAAAAACCCUAAACAGGCCUUUUUCUAUAA